rnacentral:rRNA from 1 species
AUAGCAUAUAUUAAAGUUGUUGCAGUUAAAAAGCUCGUAGUUGAAUUUCUGGAGGGGUCUCAAUGUCGGCUUGAUGCUUGUGCAGCGAGGCCCUUCCAUCCUUCUGUUAACGUUUCACGGUAUUAACUUACUGGUUGCGGGCUCAGAUAUUUUACCUUGAGAAAAUUAGAGUGUUUCAGGCAGGCUUGCGCUUGAAUACAUUAGCAUGGAAUAAUAGAAUAGGACUUUAGUCUCCUUUGUUGGUUUGAGGGACUGGAGUAAUGAUUAAUAGGGACAGUUGGGGGCAUUAGUAUUUAAUUGUCAGAGGUGAAAUUCUCGGAUUUGUUAAAGACUAACUUAUG